AUGGAUGGUUUUUGUGGCUGUGCUUCACCUGGGAUGGGGAUGAGGAAGGCUGUGAGGAGGAGUGGGAGGGUGGGAAACAAGGGGCAGCUGUGGCUGGCACAGGACCAGAACUGGGUCAUUCCCAAUUGCUCCUCCUGCAGAAAAUGGGGUACAGGAGGUGCCUCUUUGCUAAUUAUCCUGGUGGAAAGUCAGAUUUUCCUUCCAGUGGAAUUACCUUGGUGGCUGAGAAGUGAAUUUCCCUCAGCUCUGCACUGGUGUUGCAGCUCCUGGUGUGGGAGCAGGAGCAGAGGCUUCCCACACCUCUCCUGGGCUGGGCAUGGAGCUGGAGCUGCUGGGAGCCCCAUGGAAAAGUGGAUCAGGGUGGAAGGAGCUGGUCCUUGGGAAAGGACCAUGGAAGUUUUGGGAAGCCAGCACAGAAGAUUUGGAGCAGCUGGUGGGAGAUUGCCCUGAGUGUUUCCUACAAACUGAAUUUUCCUAAUUCAAGGCCUAGCUGGGAGUCAAAAGCAUUCUGUGAGGUGGAAGUCCCUGGGAGCAGCAGAAAAUCACGUUGGAAUGUGGAUUUCUGAAUGAGGGAAUGGCUCCUAAAGCUUGGCCAAACCCUUUCCUCUUUCCCCUGCUGCGCUGGGCUUGUAUCUCCUGAAGCAUCUACAAUAUACUAAUUUCCAAAAAUUUCACUUUGUCAAGCUCUCCUUUGAUUCUUCCCUUCCUUCCAAAUUCCAGUUUUCCCCCUCACCAGGGAAAUAAUCCUUUGAAGCUUCCUCACUUUGUUCAUAGUAAGGUUAUUGAAAUAUUUAUUGGGUUCCUUCAUGGGUAGAAAUUCUCUGAGGAGGGUUCCAAGGACUGGGAGUCUGGUUUGGCUCCUCCUCCUGCCUGGUAAAUCAAUUUCUGCUCAUUCCAAGUGAAUGAGUCUGAUUAUCAAUAUUCCACCAGCAAGUAAAUGGAAUUCUAUUGAUUUGGGUGGAGCCAAGUCACAUUUCUGAGUUAACUUUUAAUCCACAGGAUCCAACUCCAUGGGAUACAGCUGGCAGGAUAACAUCACUGUUUAAUCCAAAUCCAUUAUCAAACACACUUUUUCUUUUCCUGAGUACUCACCACCCUACAAAUCUUAUUUUAAUGGUUUUCUUAGUGUGCUAUGCUGUUCUUUAGUGUUAAAAUUAAGAAAACAAGCGUUCUUUUAAUUAUCUAACAGUGGUUGGUUUGUUGGCUUGGUUUUUUAAUGAGAGUUUCUUUGUUCUUAUCACUAAAGAAACCUCUGCCAAAAGUCAGUGCCUUUGCAACUGCGGCAUUUCCCAGCGAGACCAGCAACAUUCAAGGUUAUUUUUGGAGAGAAUUUUGUCAAAUAAUGGUCACUUUGGGUUACUGUGGG
ensembl:lncRNA